rnacentral:rRNA from 1 species
AUACUGGGCGUAAGCGCGCGUAGGUGGCUAAGUCAGCCAGGUGUGAAAGCCCCGGGCUCAACCUGGGAACGGCAUCUGGAACUGCUUGGCUAGAGUGCAGGAGAGGAAGGUAGAAUUCCCGGUGUAGCGGUGAAAUGCGUAGAGAUCGGGAGGAAUACCAGUGGCGAAGGCGGCCUUCUGGACUGACACUGACACUGAGGUGCGAAAGCGUGGGUAGCAAACAGGAUUAGAUACCCUGGUAGUCCACGCCGUAAACGAUGUCAACUAGCCGUUGGGUCCCUUGAGGACUUAGUGGCGCAGCUAACGCAAUAAGUUGACCGCCUGGGGAGUACGGCCGCAAGGUUAAAACUCAAAUGAAUUGACGGGGGCCCGCACAAGCGGUGGAGCAUGUGGUUUAAUUCGAUGCAACGCGAAGAACCUUACCUACCCUUGACAUCCAGAGGACUUUCCAGAGAUGGAUUGGUGCCUUCGGGAACUCUGAGACAGGUGCUGCAUGGCUGUCGUCAGCUCGUGUUGUGAAAUGUUGGGUUAAGUCCCGUAACGAGCGCAACCCCUAUCCUUAUUUGCCAGCGAGUAAUGUCGGGAACUCUAAGGAGACUGCCGGUGACAAACCGGAGGAAGGUGGGGACGACGUCAAGUCAUCAUGGCCCUUACGGGUAGGGCUACACACGUGCUACAAUGGCAAGUACAAAGGGUUGCAAUACUGCGAAGUGGAGCCAAUCCCAUAAAGCUUGCCUCAGUCCGGAUUGGAGUCUGCAACUCGACUCCAUGAAGUCGGAAUCGCUAGUAAUCGUGGAUCAGAAUGCCACGGUGAAUACGUUCCCGGGCCUUGUACACACCGCCCGUCACACCAUGGGAGUGGACUGCACCAGAAGUGGGUUAGCCUAACCUUCGGGAGGGCGAUCACCACGGUGUGGUUCAUGACUGGGGGUGAA